AGUCGACGGUUAAAGCAUCUUCGGAUGUGUAUAAAGUGGCGAACGGCUGAGUAACACGUGGGCAACCUGCCCUUUGCACUGGGAUAGCCUCGGGAAACCGAGGUUAAUACCGGAUACUCCAUAUUUGUCGCAUGGCGAAUAUGGGAAAGCUCCGGCGGCAAAGGAUGGGCCCGCGGCCUGUUAGCUAGUUGGUGGGGUAGUGGCCUACCAAGGCAAUGAUGGGUAGCCGGGUUGAGAGACCGACCGGCCAGAUUGGGACUGAGACACGGCCCAGACUCCUACGGGAGGCAGCAGUGGGGAAUCUUGCACAAUGGGCGAAAGCCUGAUGCAGCGACGCCGCGUGCGGGAUGAAGGCCUUCGGGUUGUAAACCGCUUUCAGCAGGGACGAGGCCGCAAGGUGACGGUACCUGCAGAAGAAGCCCCGGCUAACUACGUGCCAGCAGCCGCGGUAAUACGUAGGGGGCAAGCGUUAUCCGGAUUCAUUGGGCGUAAAGCGCGCGUAGGCGGUCUGUUAGGUCAGGAGUUAAAUCUGGGGGCUCAACCCCUAUCCGCUCCUGAUACCGGCAGGCUUGAGUCUGGUAGGGGAAGAUGGAAUUCCAAGUGUAGCGGUGAAAUGCGCAGAUAUUUGGAAGAACACCGGUGGCGAAGGCGGUCUUCUGGGCCAUGACUGACGCUGAGGCGCGAAAGCUAGGGGAGCGAACAGGAUUAGAUACCCUGGUAGUCCUAGCUGUAAACGAUGGACACUAGGUGUGGGGAGAUUAUACUUUCCGUGCCGCAGCUAACGCAUUAAGUGUCCCGCCUGGGGAGUACGGUCGCAAGAC
rnacentral:rRNA from 1 species